GAUGAACGUUGGCGGCGUGCCUAAUACAUGCAAGUCGAACGGAGAUUGUAGCAAUACGGUCUCAGUGGCGAACGGGUGAGUAACGCGUUGGUGAUCUGCCUCGAAGUGUGGAAUAACCUCCCGAAAGGGAAGCUAAUACCGCAUAGUCUCUCAAGGUUUAGAAAAUUGAGAGUAAAGGAUUUAUUCGCUUCGAGAGGAGCCUGCGUCCCAUCAGCUAGUUGGUAGGGUAACGGCCUACCAAGGCAAUGACGGGUAGGGGACCUGAGAGGGUGACCCCCCACAAUGGAACUGAAACACGGUCCAUACACCUACGGGUGGCAGCAGUAGGGGAUAUUGCACAAUAGGCGGAAGCCUGAUGCAGCAACGCCGCGUGAGUGACGAAGGCCUUCGGGUCGUAAAACUCUUUUCAAGAGGAAGAGGAAGGACGGUACUCUUGGAAUAAGCCUCGGCUAACUACGUG
rnacentral:rRNA from 1 species